rnacentral:rRNA from 1 species
CUCGGCUCUCGCAUCGAUGAAGAACGUAGCGAAAUGCGAUACUUGGUGUGAAUUGCAGAAUCCCGUGAACCAUCGAGUCUUUGAACGCAAGUUGCGCCCGAAGCCAUUAGGCCGAGGGCACGUCUGCCUGGGCGUCACGCAUCGCGUCGCCCCCCCCACAC